UACUCGGUAGCUUAGUUGAUAAAGCACUCGUCUUGCAUACAAGACUCGUGGGUUUGAAUCCCAUCCGAGCAC
rnacentral:tRNA from 1 species